GGAAAUUUUGCAGAUUUUGGUUAUUAUCUUGAAUAUUAUUAUAGAUAGAGAUAAACUGUAAAGAGCAAUAAUGUUCAGCAAAGUAAGAUCUACAAAUAAAUUAACAUGACCAAAAUUGUCAAUUGACCCCUUAAGGAGUUAUUGCCCUUUAUAGUCAAUUUUCAUCAAUUUUUGUAAAUUUUUAGAAAAUGUUUUCCACUGUAAUUACUGUGCCAAGUUCAUUAUAGAUAGAGAUAAUUGUAGCAACAAGAAUGUUCAGUAAAGAAAAAUCUACAAAUACAUCACCAUC
rnacentral:lncRNA from 1 species